AUUCUGAACACCAAGCUCCCAGCACACUAUCAGAGAGCCUCCUGGGUUUGCAAUGGAGACUGAGCAGGGCAAGACUUUUGUAAAUCGUGCUUCUUCAUGGUCAUGGGAGCACAGCCCAAUUUUGGUGAAUCUCUGGUGCAAGACCAAUAAAACGGUAAACUUCAGCAAAUGUACCAGGAAUGACCAUGUGUACCAGUAGAUAGCUUUUAAAAAAGCUGGCAGCUUUAGAUGGGUGCUCAGUGCAGGGAGCAUAGUAAGAGUCUGAAGAGCAAGUACUGGAAGACCAGAGACAAGAACCACAUCUCGAGCAACUUGCCAACAUCAUGGAUGUCUUAUGAGGAGUUUGACCGUGUGCGGGGCACUGCACCCAGCAUGGAGCCAACCAUGCAUGAUGAUAACCUGGUGAGCUGGGAUGGUACCCAGCUGGCCCCUGAAUCCAGGAUGGGGACUGAUGAGAGCCAGCAGCAGGCUUCAAGAGAGGUGCAUAAAGUGACUGUUCUUGUUUAUGAAACCAAUCCCAGAGGAGGCUGUGCAUCAGGAUCAAUGGCAAAUUCAAGGUCCCUACUCAGAAGAGCUGUUGGAUUUCUCCCUCUCUGAGAACAGCCCACUGCUGAGUCUACAGCAAACCUGGUGGAGAGAGAAGCCACCCUGGAGCCUGGCCACUCCACCUCUACUGCCUGCUGUUCAUCAGGAAUUGAUCCAUGGCCCGAUAUACCCUCACGGGCCAUUCCAAACAGACCAUUUCCAUGAUAAGUUAUGAUCAAUGUUCUUGACACAGCAGACCAGCAGGUCCAGUACCAGAAAAAGAGGGAUGAAAGCCUGGAGCAACGGCAUGCUAAAAGGCAGGAGGAAUUGCUGAAACCAUUCUCUGAGCUCUGUCCUCCCUUAGCUGCUGCUCCUAUUCCAGGAACUGCUUUGCAAGUGUCUGCUUCCUCGCUGAAACUCUCUCCUCCACCAAAGAGCCCCACACCUGAUUGCCUCAGAUAUCUCUGCUACCACUUUACCCACAGCCAACUUUCCAACCCUAAACUGGUUGGCAACGGACCUGUAGCAGUCUGGAAUAGCCAGCUUCCAGACAGUUAUAGAAACCUGCUUCUGGACCAGCAAGGAUGACUUCAGUUGUGUCUCUUUACAUGGGAGGGUUGGGGUAAGGUGUUCACAAAGCUCCAGAAAUGUCGCUUGCUUCGUGCAAAAGUUUUGGACCCACUGCUGAUCCUCCCAGGUCUUAUGACAGUGUGCUCGUGGCCCUGUGCCAGAAGCUCUGGUCUACAUAUGGGGCAUCAGUGGCUAUGCCAGUUGUACCAAGCAGCAGCAGCCAGUGUGAGUCUGCGAUGCCAGGGUACUCCUCCUGCUACUUCAUCAGGAAAUCCGUUCGGUACCUUUGGUGGGACAGAAAAUGCUGCUGAAAUGUCCACCAGUGCCUCAUGGAUGCUUUGCCUGGCACAAAAGUGAAAGUACAAGCAAGAGAAGUUCUUCAGAAGGUGUCUCCUCCAUGCCAUUGGCUCCAGUCAUUAGGAAUGCACAAACCACAAUGAUUGCUCGGCAGGCUCGGGCUGUUCAGACUUCCUGUAAUAGGAAGGGUGGGCAGUAAAGUUUCCCCCCCCCACAGUCCAUCACAGUCAGAGGGCUAAAGCAGCACUUGUGACUCUGGGAUAUGGUUGGUUUGGCUCAGGUCUGUGUGUAGCUGUGUGGAUGCCAGAGCCCCAGGUUGAAGCAUGGGUUAGAAAAGUCUUAACAUAGUGUUUAAAAACAGUGUAGAUGCUUAAACCCAGGAUUCCUUAACAGGUCAGUAGACUCGAGUCCCACUAACCCUGAGUCCCGCUAAACCUGGGCUUACAUUGCAGUGUAGACAUACCCUGUGUCCCUUAGGGGAUACUGUCCAUAACAGGAGUGUUAUAUGGUAAAUGUAUAUCAAAUAUGUUCUGAGAAAAGAAACAAAGCAAGUUAUUUAUAUUUUUUUUUCAAUUUUAACAAUGCAAAGUGACGUCCCCAAACUAUUAAAAGCAAAGAUAGCAGCUCAGUCCAUUCUUGCUCAUUCCACCUCUGUUACCUCUGACUGUGGCAGACGUGUGCCGCAUUCUGUGUGCGUUCUCUGCAAUUUACUGGCGUUAGCCUGCAAGUAGUUCUCGUUCUGAUUCCAUAUCACUAGAACUGCC